rnacentral:sRNA from 1 species
GUUGUAUUCUCUUUACCUGUCCUUCUGCGUCCACCAGGUUAUUGAAAGCUAUGGGUUGGCAGGAAUAUCCUGAAAACGAUGAGAAUUGCCUUCCCCUCACAGAGGAUGAGCUCAAAGAGUUCCACAUGAAGACAGAGCAGCUGAGAAGAAAUGGCUUUGGAAAGAAUGGCUUCUUGCAGAGCCGCAGUUCCAGCCUGUUCUCCCCUUGGAGAAGCACUUGCAAAGCAGAGUUUGAGGACUCAGACACCGAAACCAGUAGCAGUGAAACAUCAGAUGACGAUGCCUGGAAGUAGGCAUAUAAAUGCUCACAGUUAAAUCUGACCCAGUAAACUCUGUGUGUUUAGGGAGUAUACAAAAGAAAUCGUUCUUUUCCUUUUCUUAUGUUGUUGAAUACUUCAUUCACAAGGGAAAUAAUCAUAUCCCAAAGAGAGAGCGAUUGGCUUGUUUUGCUUUUGUUGUUGUUCUUCCCUGUUAUCUGCUUAAUAGAAGUUUGUGUGGUGGGACAGAUUUUUUAAACACACUCACACACACACACACACAUACACACCCAGUAUAUAUGGGGCGAUGCACAGGUAGGAGCUGGCAGUGCA